UGCAUAUGCUUAGGACGCGCAGCAUGCCUGGAGUAAGUGAGUUUAUACAUUUUUUAUUUAUUUCAUAUCCAUUAAGUUCAAAGCAAAAUGUGUCAGAGAGGCGUCUAAUGUAUUGGCUGCUUCGACCAUAGUUGGGGUUCGGGGUUGGGAUGCGAUCCGGACUACUCUCUGGGCGCACAUUGAUUGCCAGCGAGACUACUCUGUAAUGGCCUGGUCUGGCCUGGUGGGGCGUCAUGUGGUGUUAUGUGGUGUGGUCUUGUUCUUGUCUGGUUGGAUGGUUCAAGCGUUGAAAUUUCAAUUACUCAAGCAUAUGAUAAAUGAACUUGUAGCCGCAAAUUUUCUCGCCCCUUGUCUGGCAGGCUGGGGAAUCCAUUAUGAAGACACACCGCAAGCCGCCCACUAAGUGUGUGGGCGUGUCACUCACAUGUUCAUGUGCAAAAAGUGCAGCUUGUGAAAUGAUUGUGAAAAAUACUUGCUCAACUUUUGCCCAGACUACAGUUUGCUCGAACCAAAUAUGCAAAGCCUUCUCCGGGUCAACAUGAAAGGAGUUGCGAAAGUUUGUGUGCAGCAGCUGCUGAAUUUCAUUCAUUGCUAAGCACAAACUGCUGCUUCAGCCCCAAUGCUGUGCCAAAGUGGAUGGUCCGGAUCCGUCCGGGUGCUCCGCGAAAAUGGUGUGAAGUUUCAUUUCACUUCAGUUGCGGGUGUUAUAAAAAAGGCAAACUGAAAACCACAUACAAGAAUGUAAUGCAAUGCUGAGUGAAGAAGCUGGAGCAGUGGUCCGGGAAUGUCGAGAGGGACCGAGGGAAUCUACCAGUCAGAAUGGCGACGAGGAGAGGCCCCACAACAGUCAGCAAACAAUGGUUUGAACUGUGUAGAAAUUGAGCACGCAGAAUGAAUCUCAAAUAGUUUGAAUUGGAAAUUUCUAAAAAAAAGCGAAAAUGUAUCAUAAAAUUGGAUUUUGCGCAAGUGCAGCACAUAUUUGUUAACUUUUUGGUUACA
rnacentral:sRNA from 13 species